rnacentral:rRNA from 1 species
UACAGAGGUGCCGAGCGUUAGGCGGAAUCACUGGGCUUAAAGCGUGUGUAGGCGGAUGCCUAAGUACCUUGUGAAAUCCCAUGGCUCAACCAUGGAACUGCUUGGUAUACUGGGUGUCUUGAGCUAUCUAGGGGCAACUGGAACAAACGGUGGAGCGGUGAAAUGCGUAGAUAUCGUUUGGAACGCCAAUGGUGAAAACAGGUUGCUGGGGAUAUGCUGACGCUGAGACACGAAAGCCAGGGGAGCAAACGGG